GGUGCUUUGGCUUAGUUGGUUAAAGCGCCUGUCUAGUGAACAGGAGAUCCUGAGUUCAACUCUCAGCGGAACCU